GAUGAAGAACGCAGCGAAAUGCGAUAAUUAAUGUGAAUUGCAGAAUUCCGUGAAUCAUCGAGUCUUUGAACGCACAUUGCGCCCCCUGGUAUUCCGGGGGGCAUGCCUGUCCGAGCGUCAUUGCUGCCCUCAAGCACGGCUUGUGUGUUGGGCCUCCGUCCUCCUCCCGGGGGACGGGCCCGAAAGGCAGCGGCGGCACCGCGUCCGGUCCUCGAGCGUAUGGGGCUUCGUCACCCGCUCUUGUAGGCCCGGUCGGCGCUUGCCGACACAUCAAUCUUUUUUCCAGGUUGACCUCGGAUCAGGUAGGGAUACCCGCUGAACUUAAGCAUAUCAAUAAGCGGAGGA
rnacentral:misc_RNA from 1 species